rnacentral:rRNA from 1 species
UACAGAGGUCUCAAGCGUUGUUCGGAUUCAUUGGGCGUAAAGGGUGCGUAGGCGGCGUGGUAAGUCGGGUGUGAAAUCUCGGAGCUUAACUCCGAAACUGCAUUCGAUACUGCCGUGCUUGAGGACUGGAGAGGAGACUGGAAUUUACGGUGUAGCGGUGAAAUGCGUAGAUAUCGGGAGGGACACCAGUGGCGAAGGCGAGUCUCUGGGAUGAUGCUGACGCUGAGGCGCGAAAGCGUGGGGAGCAAACAGG